AUGUGGUAUCUUCGGAGAGGUGUCGUGCUAACUAAAGACAACCUUGCUCGGCGCAACUGGCAAGGUAGGAAGUAGUGUAGUUUUUGUGCCCACGAUGGUGCAAUCAAACACCUCUUCUUCCAAUGCAACUUUGUGUGUUCUACUUGGCCAGUCAUUCAAAUUGCAUCAAAUUUGUACCCGCUCACAAGUGUUUGCCAAUAUAUAUGGUCAUUGGCUGGACGGAAUACCAAAUAG
rnacentral:rRNA from 1 species